GGGGAGAGCAGGCAGGCCGGGAGGGGGCGUCGGCACGCAGUGGCUAUUGUGGUCAUGAUGCAAAUUAUCUUGUAUGAGUUAUUAUUUGUGCUGCAACUUUUUCCUAUGUUAAACUUAUCAAAUAUAGCUAAUCGUGGUAUUGCAAUUCAGCAGGUAUGAAGAGAAAAGCGUUGUCAAACAUUGUUAAGAUUGAUUUAUUUCUAAGCUGAAUGCUUCAAGUUCUCUGCUGAUAUUUUUAAUGAGGCUGAUGUGCAAGU
rnacentral:lncRNA from 1 species